UCCCUGGUGGGCCUAGGGCUAAGACUCUGAGCUCCCAAUGCAGGGGACCCAGGUUCCAUCCCUGGUCAGGGAA
rnacentral:tRNA from 1 species